rnacentral:rRNA from 1 species
UGAGGAAUAUUGGUCAAUGGGCGCAAGCCUGAACCAGCCAUCCCGCGUGCAGGAAGACGGCGCUAUGCGCUGUAAACUGCUUUUCCAGGGGGAGAAACUUGCGCACGUGUUGCGCAAUUGACGGUACCCUGGGAAUAAGCAUCGGUUAACUCCGUGCCAGCAGCCGCGGUAAUACGGAGGAUGCGAGCGUUAUCCGGAUUCAUUGGGUUUAAAGGGUGCGUAGGCGGACUAUUAAGUCAGUGGUGAAAUCCUGCAGCUUAACUGCAGAACUGCCAUUGAUACUGAUAGCCUUGAGUUUGGUUAAGGUAGGCGGAAUGUGUAAUGUAGCGGUGAAAUGCUUAGAUAUUACACAGAACACCAAUUGCGUAGGCAGCUUACUGAGCCGACACUGACGCUGAGGCACGAAAGCGUGGGGAUCGAACAG